GAUGAACGCUGGCGGCGUGCCUAAUACAUGCAAGUCGAGCGAACGGACGAGAAGCUUGCUUCUCUGAUGUUAGCGGCGGACGGGUGAGUAACACGUGGAUAACCUACCUAUAAGACUGGGAUAACUUCGGGAAACCGGAGCUAAUACCGGAUAAUAUUUUGAACCGCAUGGUUCAAAAGUGAAAGACGGUCUUGCUGUCACUUAUAGAUGGAUCCGCGCUGCAUUAGCUAGUUGGUAAGGUAACGGCUUACGAAGGCAACGAUGCAUAGCCGACCUGAGGGGCUGAUCGGCCACACGGGAAGUGAGACACGGUCCAGACUCCUACGGGAGGCAGCAGUAGCGAAUCUUCCGCAAUGGGCGAAAGCCUUGCGGAGCAACGCCACGUGAGUUAUGAAGGUCUUCGGAUCGUAAAACUCUGUUAUGAGGGAAGAACAUAUGUGUAAGUAACUGUGCACAGCGUGACGGUACCUAAUCAGAAAGCCACGGCUAACUACGUG
rnacentral:rRNA from 1 species